rnacentral:rRNA from 1 species
AACGAACGCUGGCGGCAUGCCUAACACAUGCAAGUCGAACGAGACCUUCGGGUCUAGUGGCGCACGGGUGCGUAACGCGUGGGAACCUGCCCUUAGGUUCGGAAUAACUCCCCGAAAGGGGUGCUAAUACCGGAUAAUGUCUUCGGACCAAAGAUUUAUCGCCUUUGGAUGGGCCCGCGUUGGAUUAGCUAGUUGGUAGGGUAAAAGCCUACCAAGGCGACGAUCCAUAGCUGGUCUGAGAGGAUGAUCAGCCACACUGGGACUGAGACACGGCCCAGACUCCUACGGAAGGCAGCAGUAGGGAAUAUUGGAAAAUGGCGGAAGGCCUGAAGCAGCUAUGCCGCGAGAGUGAUGAAGUCGGUAGGGUAGUAAAGCUCUUUUACCCGGGAUGAUAAUGACAGUACCGGGAGAAUAAGCACCGGCUAACUCCGUG